rnacentral:rRNA from 1 species
GAUGAACGCUGGCGGCGUGCCUAACACAUGCAAGUCGAACGGGUGUGGUAUCAGGGAAAAGGGGUUUACUUCUUUGACCAGAUAACACACUAGUGGCGGACGGGUGAGUAACGCGUGGAUAACCUGCCUUAUACAGGGGGAUAACAGGGAGAAAUUCUUGCUAAUACCCCAUAGGUAUGUCUGACGCAUGUUGGACAUAUUAAAGCUUUGGCGGUAUAAGAUGGGUCCGCGUCUGAUUAGCUAGUUGGUGGGGUAAAGGCCCACCAAGGCGACGAUCAGUAGCCGGCUUGAGAGAGUGGACGGCCACAUUGGGACUGAGACACGGCCCAAACUCCUACGGGAGGCAGCAGUGGGGAAUAUUGCACAAUGGGGGAAACCCUGAUGCAGCGACGCCGCGUGAAGGAAGAAGGUCUUCGGAUCGUAAACUUCUAUCAGCAGGGAAGAAGGAAGUGACAGUACCUGAGUAAGAAGCCCCGGCUAACUACGUGCCAGCAGCCGCGGUAAUAU